rnacentral:rRNA from 1 species
CCUACGGGGGGCUGCAGUGGGGAAUAUUGGACAAUGGGGGCAACCCUGAUCCAGCCAUGCCGCGUGUGUGAAGAAGGCCCUCGGGUUGUAAAGCACUUUCAGUGAGGAAGAACGCCUGGUGGUUAAUACCCAUCAGGAAAGACAUCACUCACAGAAGAAGCACCGGCUAACUCCGUGCCAUCAGCCGCGGUAAUACGGAGGGUGCGAGCGUUAAUCGGAAUUACUGGGCGUAAAGCGCGCGUAGGUGGCUUGAUAAGCCGGUUGUGAAAGCCCCGGGCUCAACCUGGGAACGGCAUCCGGAACUGUCAAGCUAGAGUGCAGGAGAGGAAGGUAGAAUUCCCGGUGUAGCGGUGAAAUGCGUAGAGAUCGGGAGGAAUACCAGUGGCGAAGGCGGCCUUCUGGACUGACACUGACACUGAGGUGCGAAAGCGUGGGUAGCAAACAGGAUUAGAUACCCGUGUAGUC